rnacentral:tRNA from 1 species
GCAUUCAUGUAGUGGUAACCUUGGUCGUUGCCAUCGACCAGCCGUGAGUUCGAUUCUCGCUUUGUGCA